rnacentral:lncRNA from 10 species
CCGGGCUGGUCUUGGCUCUUAGGUUUCUCUCUCUCUGUGUGUUUGUGUGUGUGUGUGUGGGUGUGUGUGUGGUAGCUGUUUUCCUUUAUCUUGAUAAAGGGUGAACAUGGCACACAGGCGCAAAAUAAACAAGACUGACACCUGUUUCAUAACUCUGGUCACUAUUUUCAUCCGCAUCUGUCACUUCUGAUGCGUCUCUAACAUUUAUAAGAUUUCUCUGGGGAGGGAUUUGACGUAUCCAUGCCCCACCUCUUUCUACAUUUAUGGGAUUGAGCUCUCCACCACACAGUGGCCUCUACUGGGGGAUGGCAGCUUUCCAGGAGAAGAGUCGCAAGCUUGCCUGUGGGACUUGUGUCUUGUGGAGAGGACAGGGCUGCCUCAGCUUGGGGAGACAGACAGAGUGUUCCGGGUCCCCUCUUUCCGCCGCAGCAUGAAGUCUCUGGGGGCGACUGGACUCAUGGCAUAGAAGACGUUGGCAUUGUCAGGAAUCAGGAGCACUGGUCAGGAGUGGAGAUGGUGGUAAUAGGCCCUCACAACCUUGUGUCACCCCCACAGAGGACCCGGGAGCCUCCUGCCACUCACCCGCGAACCUGAACAGCCAUGGGUCCCUCUGCAGCUACUGCCAAGCCAAGCUCAUUCUGCUGUCACUGGGAACCUGGACGACUUCUCACUUGAAAACUUGCACCACCUCAUGCCUUCCCUUAUCAUAAGCCUGGGCAACCUCCUAAUAUUCUCCCCCUCACCAUAGAGACAAGGCAACCUGCAGUAAAAGUUUGAGCAAACUGGCCGGGCGCGAUGCCUCGUGCCUGUAAUCCCAGCGCUUUGGGAGGCCGAAGUGGGUGGAUCACUUGAGGUCAGGAAUUCGAGACCAGUCUGGCCAACAUGGUGAAACCCCGUCUCUACUAAAAAUACCAAAAAAAUGAGCUAGGCAUGGUGGCACAUGCCUGUAAUCCCAGCUACUCGGAAGGCUGAGGCAGGAGAAUCUCUUGAACCCAGGAGGUGGAUGUUGCGGUGAGCCGAGAUCCUGCCAUUGCACUCCAGCCUGGGCAACAGCACGAGACUCCAUCUCAAAAAAAAAAAAACAAAAACAAACAAAACCGACAACCUGCAGUAAAAGUUUGGGCAAACUUAGACCACCCUAGACCACCCCCCGCCAAACAACUUCCUGCUCACCCUACCCCUCCCCCACAACCACUCCCAGCCAAUCCCAUGCUGCUGUCACCAUGAACUUGAAUAACUUCCCACUUCCAGCCUGCACGAGCUUGUGGCCUCACACUCAACACCUGAACAACCACAAGCAUCCUUUCCUAAUAUCCAGCCAACCUCAUGCCAUGUACUUCAGCGUGAAUACGCUCAAUCCCUUGCUUCUCCCUGUCAGACAGGACAAUCUCAUGCUUCCGCGGCUAUCCAUUUGCCUCUCUCCCGUCCCAAGUUCAGAUAACUUCAGGGUCCCAGUGGUGAACAAACUUAGUUCUCACAAAUCUAAGCCCAGAUGCCCUUUAGUCUCCCAUCCCAUCAGGUUGAGCCUGAACAAUCUCAUGAUGCUACAAACUUAAGAUCAGACAAACUUCUACACUCCCUUCUCUCACUCGACCCUAGACAAUCUAUUUUUUCUUUUUUUUUGAGACGGAGUCUCACUCUGUCGCCAGGCUGGAGUGCAGUGGCGCAAUCUUGGCUCACUGCAACCUUCACCUCCUGGGUUCAAGUGAUUCUUCUGCCUCAGCCUCCUGAGUAGCUGGGACUAUAGGCGCCUGCCACCAUGCCUGGCUAAUUUUUUGUAUUUUUAGUAGAGACGAGGCUUCACCAUGUUGGCCAGGAUGGUCUCGAUCUCUUGACUUCGUGAUCCACCCGCCUCGGCCUCCCAAAGUGCUGGGAUUACAGGCGUGAGCCACCAUGCCCGGCCCCCUUUUUUUUUUUUAAUUGAGACAGGGUCUUGCUCUGUCACCCAGGCUGGAGUGCAGUGGCGUGAUCUCAGCUCGCUGCAGCCUCCACCUCCUAGGCUCAAGUGAUCCUCCCACCUCAGCCUCCCCAGUAGUUGGAGUUGGGAAUACAGGCACAUGCCACCAUGCUCAGCUAAUCUCUCUCUCUCUCUCUCUCUCUCUCUCUCUCUCUCUAUAUAUAUAUAUAUAUAUAUAUUUUUUUUUUUUUUUUUUUUUUUUUUUUGAGACAGAGUCUUGCUCAGUCGCCAGGCUGGAGUGCAGUGGUGCGAUCUCGGCUCACUGCAACCUCCGCCUCCUGGGUUCAAGCGAUUCUUCUGCCUCAGCCUCCCGAGUAGCUGAGACUACAGGCAUGUGCCACCAUGCCCAGCUAAUUUUUUUGUAUUUUUAGUAGAGACGGGGCUUCACCAUGUUGGCCAGGCUGGUCUCGAACUCCUGACCUCAAGUGAUCCACCCGCUUUGGCCUCCCAAAGUGCCGGGAUUACAGGCGUUGAGCCACCGCACCCAGCCAAUUUCUCUAUUUUUUGUAUAGAUGGGGUCUCCUCAUGUUGCCCAGGCUGGUCUCAAACUCCUGAGCUCAGACAAUCCACCCACCUUGACCUCCCAAAGUGCUGGGAUUACAGUUGUGAGCCACCAUGCCCAGCCCAUCCUACAAAUUGAAGGUCAGAAACACUCCCUUCUGUCACUUGUCCGUGGACAGUCUUUUUUUUUUUUUUUUUUUUUAAACAGAGUCUCGCUCUGCUGCCCAGGCUGAAGUGCAGUGGUAUGAUCUCGGCUCACUGCAACCUCCGCCUCCCAGAUUCAAGCAAUUAUUCUCCUGCCUCAGCCUCCUGAGUAGCUGGGACUACAGGAGUGUGCCACCACACCCGACUAAUUUUUGUAUGUUUCGUAGAGACGGGGUUUCACCACGUUGGUCAGCCUGGUCUCAAACUCCUGACCUCAAGUGAUCCGCCCAGCUUGACCUCCCAAAGUGCUGGGAUUACAGACAUGAGCCACUGCGCCUGGCCGGACCCUGGACAAUCUUAUUGUCUUUUAAAUUUUAGGAAGAUGACCUUUGGUACCUCUCUCUCACACUGAGCCAAGACAAUCUCAUGACCCUACAUCGUUGGGUUACAGGUAUUUUAUGUCCUCUUACCUCCACUGAUUAUCUUACCCCUACUCUCUGCCUGAAGCACCUCACAGCCCUGUGAACCCGGGUAACCUUGGGCUCCAUCCUUGGGCGUGGUCAGUCUGCUCGCCUCCCCGCUGCCCCCUAUCCUGAGCUCCAACCCAUCCCUGCUCACCCCGGUCCCCAGGAAGGACUUGAAAGAGCUGAUAGUCACAGGCCCAGGGCUGGGGCACAUUGUGCUUCUGCAAGGCUCGCCGGACCACGCUGGGGGCUUUGUCCUGACUGGUCAGCUGGAAGAGAGGGGCGGGAGGUGAGGUGAGGGCCCCGGCCCCAAGGGCAGGGCAGCCUCCAGCAGACCCCCAGCCCAGCCCCUCACCAAGAUGCUUCGAUACAGGUUCCCGUGGUCAUUGUCGAUGCUGACGCGGAUGACACGGGCCUCCGAGCUCUGCUGCGCCGGGAG